rnacentral:piRNA from 1 species
AAGGAAUUUAUUGAUGACUUACAGUCGGC